UACGGAGGGUGCAAGCGUUACUCGGAAUCACUGGGCGUAAGGCGCGCGCAGGCGGGCUGGUAAGUUGGAUGUGAAAUGCUAGGGCUCAACCGUAGAACUGCAUCCAAAACUGCCAGUCUAGAGUCUGGGAGAGGUAAGUGGAAUUAGUUGUGUAGGGGUAAAAUCCGUAGAGAUAACUAGGAAUACCAAAAGCGAAGGCAACUUACUGGAACAGUACUGACGCUGAGGCGCGAAAGCGUGGGGAGCAAACAGGAUUAGAUACCCUGGUAGUCCACGCCCUAAACGAUGAGUGUUAGUCGUCGGAGAGCUCGUCUCUUCGGUGAUGCAGCUAACGCAUUAAACACUCCGCCUGGGGAGUACGGUCGCAAGAUUAAAACUCAAAGGAAUAGACGGGGACCCGCACAAGUGGUGGAGCAUGUGGUUUAAUUCGAAGAUACGCGAAGAACCUUACCUGGCCUUGACAUUGAUGGAAUCUGCUAGAGAUAGCGGAGUGCCCUUCGGGGAGCCUGAAAACAGGUGCUGCACGGCUGUCGUCAGCUCGUGUCGUGAGAUGUUGGGUUAAGUCCCGCAACGAGCGCAACCCUCGUGGCUAGUUACUAACGGUUCGGCCGAGGACUCUAGUCAGACUGCCUCCGCAAGGAGGAGGAAGGUGAGGACGACGUCAAGUCAUCAUGGCCCUUACGGCCAGGGCAACACACGUGCUACAAUGGGAUGUACAAUGAGACGCGAUACCGCGAGGUGGAGCAAAUCUAUAAAGCAUCUCUCAGUUCGGAUAGCAGUCUGCAACUCGACUGCUUGAAGCUGGAAUCACUAGUAAUCGUAGAUCAGCUAUGCUACGGUGAAUACGUUCCCGGGUC
rnacentral:rRNA from 1 species